rfam:Schistosoma mansoni strain Puerto Rico chromosome 6, complete genome
GCACUGCUGAGGAGUCCCAUAAUAGGACGAAACGACCUUCCAAUGC